AAAAACAACAUCCUGCUCCGGGAUGCGGUGGAGAAGCUGUUUCCCGCUGAAGUGAGACGACGGAAGCAGGCCAUCCUGAGCGAUCCGCAGUUCUGUCGUGUUCUCCAGAUGUUCCAGCAGCAGGGGAAGAGGCAGGCCCCUCGCGCAGCUCCGCCACAGAACCCACCACAGUUUAAUAUACUGAACCAACCACUGUUUAAUAUGUUGAAUCAGCCACAGUUUGAUAUGUUGAAUGCUCCGGAGUUGAACAUCAGAGAGUUUUGCUCUGGAAUGAGUAUAGUGCUGUGCUGCAUGGCUAUGGUGGUGUUAAUGUGGCGUGUGUUCAGUACGGACUCCAGUCACGAGGUGCUGCUCAGUAAACCUCUCAGCAGGUGGAACGCUGAUGAUGUCACUCUGUGGGUGGAGCAUCUGAGCGUCUGGACCAAUCAGUAUAAAGAAACCUUCCUCAGGGAACAG